rnacentral:rRNA from 1 species
ACAUGCAAGUCGAACGAGUUCUGAUUAUUGAAAGGUGCUUGCAUCUUGAUUUAAUUUUGAACGAGUGGCGGACGGGUGAGUAACACGUGGGUAACCUGCCCUUAAGUGGGGGAUAACAUUUGGAAACAGAUGCUAAUACCGCAUAAAUCCAAGAACCGCAUGGUUCUUGGCUGAAAGAUGGCGUAAGCUAUCGCUUUUGGAUGGACCCGCGGCGUAUUAGCUAGUUGGUGAGGUAACGGCUCACCAAGGCAAUGAUACGUAGCCGAACUGAGAGGUUGAUCGGCCACAUUGGGACUGAGACACGGCCCAAACUCCUACGGGAGGCAGCAGUAGGGAAUCUUCCACAAUGGACGCAAGUCUGAUGGAGCAACGCCGCGUGAGUGAAGAAGGCUUUCGGGUCGUAAAACUCUGUUGUUGGAGAAGAAUGGUCGGCAGAGUAACUGUUGUCGGCGUGACGGUAUCCAACCAGAAAGCCACGGCUAACUACGUGCCAGCAGCCGCGGUAAUACGUAGGUGGCAAGCGUUAUCCGGAUUUAUUGGGCGUAAAGCGAGCGCAGGCGGUUUUUUAAGUCUGAUGUGAAAGCCCUCGGCUUAACCGAGGAAGUGCAUCGGAAACUGGGAAACUUGAGUGCAGAAGAGGACAGUGGAACUCCAUGUGUAGCGGUGAAAUGCGUAGAUAUAUGGAAGAACACCAGUGGCGAAGGCGGCUGUCUGGUCUGUAACUGACGCUGAGGCUCGAAAGCAUGGGUAGCGAACAGGAUUAGAUACCCUGGUAGUCCAUGCCGUAAACGAUGAAUGCUAGGUGUUGGAGGGUUUCCGCCCUUCAGUGCCGCAGCUAACGCAUUAAGCAUUCCGCCUGGGGAGUACGACCGCAAGGUUGAAACUCAAAGGAAUUGACGGGGGCCCGCACAAGCGGUGGAGCAUGUGGUUUAAUU